UACGUAGGUGGCAAGCGUUGUUCGGAAUUAUUGGGCGUAAAGCGCACGUAGGCGGCUUUGUAAGUCAGAGGUGAAAGCCUGGAGCUCAACUCCAGAACUGCCUUUGAGACUGCAUCGCUUGAAUCCAGGAGAGGUGAGUGGAAUUCCGAGUGUAGAGGUGAAAUUCGUAGAUAUCGGAAGAACACCAGUGGCGAAGGCGGCUCACUGGCCCGAUACUGACGCUGAGGCACGAAAGCGUGGGGAGCAAACAGG
rnacentral:rRNA from 1 species